AAGUACGAUAAAUUGUUCUGAAAUAUUCUCUGUCCAGGAGCAAGAAGUGCCAGAGGGUCAUAAGCUGAUUUUCUCUUUGCAAAGACUUCCCAUUUGGGACCAAAAUGGUGCAUCCACUCUUCUUGCUUAUGAAAUAAGAUAUUCUUGGUCUUUGGAGAAUGUUGAGAAGUCUGAGUACAGCACUCUGAUCCACUUGACCUGUUGUAAUGAUAUUCUUGCGCGGGUUAUUACACCAAACUGACCAAGUCCUCCAAGAACACCAUAAAAGAGAUUGUCUCCAGUGACAUGUAUGGCUAUGGUUGUGGCUUCAUGACAUGAUUGGUGAAUGUAUUCAAAUUCUACAUUGUUGUCAAAUAGCAAACAUUGAGUAUCUUCUAUCAGAUUGGAUGAGAGACCAGGGGGAUGGUCGUUGAUUCGUUUCAAUUGGCAUUGCACUGAAUGGCCCAUUUCACACAUGGACAUGGGUUCUUGAGGGGGUUAUAAGAUCUAUGAUUGGUUGUUUGGGACCUCCUGGGGAUAGUCCUGAUGGCCUACGAGAGUGAUGAGUUGACGUGGAGUCGCCGAAAGUCACUGAUUAGCCAACUAUGUUGCAUUGACAAGAAUGCUAUUGGGUGCACUUCCAUUUAUACAUCAACAACAGUGUUUGUAUAACAGGUUGUGAAUUUGUGCUAGACUACAACUGGUUGUACAUUUAUUUUAUUAAAAUUGGUUUGCAAAUACAAGUUUAUAUUUCUGAAGUUGUCAUGCCUACUCUAAAUAUGAAAUUGUCACCCUGACUCCCAA